GUCUUAACUGUCUCUUGCAGGUAAUCAGUCAAAUUAGUAUUCCCGUGCAAAGACGAGAAUGUGACCAUAAGACGAGAAGACCCUGUGGAACUUAAAAAUAACGACCACUCCUCCACCUACACUAUCCACCGGAUUCACCCCCAUAAACACUUGGUCGACAUUUUUCGGUUGGGGCGACCUUGGAGAAAAAUAAAUCCUCCAAACCCACAGACCACAACUCUUCACUAAGACCCACCCAUCAAAGUACUAAAAGUANUACANACCCAAUACAAUUGAUCAAUGAACCAAGCUACCCCAGGGAUAACAGCGCAAUCUCCUUCAAGAGCCCGUAUCGACAAGGAGGUUUACGACCUCNNNNNNNNNNNNNNNNNNNNNAUUGAAUCCUAGCCUGAACAGGCCUAGAAAUCAAUACCUUGGCCAUCAUUCCCCUCAUCUCUAAGUCUCAUCACCCCCGAGCAAUCGAAGCUACAAUCAAAUAUUUCCUGACCCAAUCGACUGCAUCAGCCCUAAUUCUAUUUUCAAGCUUAACUAAUGCCUGAUCUACCGGCCAAUGAGAUAUCACGCAACUUAAUCACCC
rnacentral:rRNA from 1 species